rnacentral:tRNA from 1 species
GCAGGUGUGGUUCAACGGCUAGAAUGCAACCUUGCCAAGGUUGAGACGGGGUUUCGACUACCCUCACUUGCUCCA